rnacentral:rRNA from 1 species
CCUACGGGAGGCAGCAGUCGGGAAUUUUGGGCAAUGGGCGCAAGCCUGACCCAGCAACGCCGCGUGAAGGAUGAAAUCCCUCGGGAUGUAAACUUCGCAAGAACAGGAAGAAUAAGUGGGGGACAAUACCCCCCAUGAUGACGGUACUGUUUGUAAGCUCCGGCUAACUCUGUGCCAGCAGCCGCGGUAAUACGGGGGGAGCAAGCGUUGUUCGGAUUUACUGGGCGUAAAGGGCGCGUAGGCGGUCGUGACAAGUCACUUGUGAAAUCUCCGGGCUUAACUCGGAAAGGUCAAGUGAUACUGUCGGACUAGAGUGCAGAAGGGGCAACUGGAAUUCUCGGUGUAGCGGUGAAAUGCGUAGAUAUCGAGAGGAACACCUGCGGCGAAGGCGGGUUGCUGGGCUGACACUGACGCUGAGGCGCGAAAGCCAGGGGAGCGAACGGGAUUAGAUACCCCGGUAGUCCUGGCCUUAAACGAUGAAUGCUUGGUGUCUCGGGUUACAUAGUCCCGGGGUGCCGUCGCUAACGCUUUUAGCAUUCCGCCUGGGGAGUACGGUCGCAAGACUGAAACUCAAAGGAAUUGACGG